CUUUAGCCCUGAUUGAGGCAAGUAUCCUUUUGUGACGCUUUUCGACACAAAAGAUACUGUGGAAAGCAGGAGGGAAG
rnacentral:sRNA from 1 species